CAGUAGCCGCGGUAAUACGAAGGGUGCAAGCGUUAAUCGGAAUUACUGGGCGUAAAGGGCGCGUAGGCGGGCUGAUAAGUCAGGGGUGAAAUCCCAAGGCUCAACCUUGGAACUGCCUUUGAUACUGUUUGUCUUGAGUUCGAGAGAGGUAAGUGGAACUGCGAGUGUAGAGGUGAAAUUCGUAGAUAUUCGCAAGAACACCAGUGGCGAAGGCGGCUUACUGGCUCGAAACUGACGCUGAGGCGCGAAAGCGUGGGGAGCAAACAGGAUUAGAUACCCGUGUAGUCCCUGUCUCUUAUAA
rnacentral:rRNA from 1 species